rnacentral:lncRNA from 1 species
UGGAUUUCGAAUUUCGUAACUCGAGAUAUGAAUUUUUAAGAGACUAUGACGCAGAUUGUUAGCUUGACUGAAAAUUUUAAAAAUAAAUUGUUUGAGCUGUUUAAGUAAUGAAUUAAGUCUAUUAACACCUCGUGUUCGACUCCGGCGGCGGUCUCGGGUACGGGACGUUACAUGCCAAGAGGGUGCUGAGAUACAUUAAAGGAACUUUGAGGCUUGGUAUGUUGUUUAAGAAAGAAAAGGUGCUGAAGCUGGUUUGUUA